CUUUUAGCAUCGCCCCCGACUCGUCUUUCCGAACCGAGCCAUCUUCCUCUCGGCUGGUCGCACAAAAAUACAGGCAAAUAGAAAAGGGAGGAGAGGAAGCGAAGAUCAGCUGUGCCGAGCAACGUAUAAAUAAUUCUCGGCCCACUUCCACGGGGUAAAACGCAGAGACUAAUGGAUACACCGGAGUAAUUACGCUGUCGUGAGAGACAGAGGAUAAAAGAGAGGGUGAGAAAGAAAGGUAACGUGCAAACAACAAAGACCAGCCACCUUCCACGUGCACGAUCAUCAAGAGGACUUUGCGUUAAUUACGAACGAUUUCGUUUCUUUCGGUUCGCGUGAAAUCGAAUCUAUCGCGGAGAUUCGAAGAUCAAUUGACACCAUCGAAGGCUUCUCUGUGGAAAAGUAAGAAACACAGAGUAGGGAGAAGAAAGCCAAUUGGCAAUGAGAUUUCUCAUUGCUAAAUAAGGGGAUCGCGUCGACCGAGACGCAUGAUCGAGAAUUCGGAAAUCGCAAGCGAAUGGAAUGUUGCCGUUGAUCUAGUCUCAUACGAGGCGACCGGUCGUUUUGUAAACAAGCCAGAAAACACAGCUCGAGAAAUCGGGAAACUCGGGAAACGCUUGUAUUAAGAUGUUUCGUCGUUUUAUCGCUCGCUUUACUUUCAACGACACCGAUUUUUUCCCUCGAGACUCGCUUUGCAUUCGCGUAUCGAACGCGUUGCAAUUAAAUCGAUGAUCGAGAAAUCGCAAUCGUCUGAAAUGGUGCAACGCCCGAGCACUUGCGAAAAACGUUGAUUCGUCCGUAGAAAUGUGCUUUAAUUUGCAAUUUGUAUUCGCGAAUCGUACUUUUAGUAGCAUCUUUCGCACGCAAAAUGUGGAAAAAAGUUAUUUGUAAAACUUUAACCAGGUAUCGGAUAUAUUUGUUCGGAAAAGAGAAACGAUUGCGAGGAAGUUAGUCAGCGACGAAGAAGAAGCGCAUACGCGAUAGUAACGAAGCCAAAGGAAAUUCGUGUAUGGGGAACAACGGUAUGGCGAGCUCCAUUGAGUGUAAAGCCAGCAAGGUAACGGUUUCCGGGCAAGGAUGUGGCACAGCCUACAUACCUCCGCCAGAAGGAGGAUAGGAAGAGAGGAACGGUGUACACGAGCAGCAGAAGAAAAGAAAAGGAAGAAAAGGAGGCAGCCACCGACAAGAGCACGAUAAAAGAUACACCAGCUGAGGAGGAGGAGGAGGAGGUAAGAAAGGAAUAGAGACAAAAAGAGAGAAAAAAAAGAAAAGAAGAAAAAUGGCGAAGAAAAGACGGUCGACUGGUGGCUACCAACGAGAAAGAUGUUUCUGCCUGGCUUUCGUAUCUUUCGCAGCCAGAAUCCGUGUUUCUCGAGAAACAUGUAAUUACCCGGGCGAUCGAAACGUCAUUAUAUCCGUAUUAUUACGAAUUUUGUACAGAAUAUUCAUCGUACAAGAAAGCCACGACCGUUGGAUAACCACCCUGCUACGUGGCUCAAAUCAAUACCUUGCGUACGAUCGUUAACUUUUUCUUCUCUCAGCUAACAAUGUUUCUCUGCCUUGUACGUAAUUCUUUAAUUGCUUCCUCGUAAAGGGACUCGGGAUUUUAUGGUAAAACUGUGAGUUAAAAUAUACAUAAACCGUGGAGUGAUAUUUAGUAUUCAGAUAAAUUUGCUCGACGAGGUGUUUUUUUUACUUGAAUUCCAGCGUUAAAACAAGCAGUAAAAUUAACGAAGAGAAAGACAGUGUGUACAGAGUGAUUCAUAUGUAAUAUUGAAAGAAAGAAUAAAUAAAAUUUGAUCUAAGGAUUAAA